GACGAACGCUGGCGGCGUGCUUAACACAUGCAAGUCAACGGAAAGGCCUCUUUCGGGGGGUACUCGAGUGGCGAACGGGUGAGUAACACGUGAGUAACCUGCCCUUGACUUUGGGAUAACUUCAGGAAACUGGGGCUAAUACCGGAUAGGAGCUCCUGCUGCAUGGUGGGGGUUGGAAAGUUUCGGCGGUUGGGGAUGGACUCGCGGCUUAUCAGCUUGUUGGUGGGGUAGUGGCUUACCAAGGCUUUGACGGGUAGCCGGCCUGAGAGGGUGACCGGCCACAUUGGGACUGAGAUACGGCCCAGACUCCUACGGGAGGCAGCAGUGGGGAAUAUUGCACAAUGGGUGGAAGCCUGAUGCAGCAACGCCGUGUGCGGGAUGACGGCCUUCGGGUUGUAAACCGCUUUCGCUCAUGACGAAGCUUUGUGUGACGGUAGUGGGUAAAGAAGCACCGGCUAACUACGUG
rnacentral:rRNA from 1 species